rnacentral:rRNA from 1 species
GUGAACGCUGGCGGUAGGCCUAGCACAUGCAAGUCGAACGGCAGCACCGUAAGAGCUUGCUCUUACGGGUGGCGAGUGGCGGACGGGUGAGGAAUACAUCGGAAUCUACUUUUUCGUGGGGGAUAACGUAGGGAAACUUACGCUAAUACCGCAUACGACCUACGGGUGAAAGCAGGGGAUCUUCGGACCUUGCGCGAUUGAAUGAGCCGAUGUCGGAUUAGCUAGUUGGCGGGGUAAAGGCCCACCAAGGCGACGAUCCGUAGCUGGUCUGAGAGGAUGAUCAGCCACACUGGAACUGAGACACGGUCCAGACUCCUACGGGAGGCAGCAGUGGGGAAUAUUGGACAAUGGGCGCAAGCCUGAUCCAGCCAUACCGCGUGGGUGAAGAAGGCCUUCGGGUUGUAAAGCCCUUUUGUUGGGAAAGAAAAGCAGCAGGUUAAUACCCCGCUGUUCUGACGGUACCCAAAGAAUAAGCACCGGCUAACUUCGUG